rnacentral:rRNA from 1 species
UACGUAGGGUGCGAGCGUUGUCCGGAAUUACUGGGCGUAAAGAGCUCGUAGGUGGUUUGUCGCGUUGUCCGUGAAAACUCACAACUCAAUUGUGGGCGUGCGGGCGAUACGGGCAGACUGGAGUACUGCAGGGGAGACUGGAAUUCCUGGUGUAGCGGUGGAAUGCGCAGAUAUCAGGAGGAACACCGGUGGCGAAGGCGGGUCUCUGGGCAGUAACUGACGCUGAGGAGCGAAAGUGUGGGGAUCAAACAGG